UCUGGAACAUCUUUGCCUACACCCUG
rnacentral:piRNA from 1 species